GACAGAGGAGCCAAGCGUUGUCCGGACUGACUGGGCGUAAAGCGCACGCAGGCGGUGCGGGAAGUGGUGUGUGAAAGCGGCCGGCUCAACCGGCUGAGGCCAUGCCAGACUGCCGCGCUCGAGCACUGCAGAGGGUGGUGGAAUUGCCGGUGUAGUGGUGAAAUGCGUAGAGAUCGGCAGGAACACCAAGGGGGAAGCCAGCCACCUGGGCAGUCGCUGACGCUGAAGUGCGAAAGCGUGGGGAGCGAACUGG
rnacentral:rRNA from 1 species